rnacentral:rRNA from 1 species
UUUAUGGAGAGUUUGAUCCUGGCUCAGGAUGAACGCUGGCGGCGUGCCUAAUACAUGCAAGUCGAGCGAACAGACAAGGAGCUUGCUCCUUUGACGUUAGCGGCGGACGGGUGAGUAACACGUGGGUAACCUACCUAUAAGACUGGGAUAACUUCGGGAAACCGGAGCUAAUACCGGAUAAUAUUUCGAACCGCAUGGUUCGAUAGUGAAAGAUGGUUUUGCUAUCACUUAUAGAUGGACCCGCGCCGUAUUAGCUAGUUGGUAAGGUAACGGCUUACCAAGGCAACGAUACGUAGCCGACCUGAGAGGGUGAUCGGCCACACUGGAACUGAGACACGGUCCAGACUCCUACGGGAGGCAGCAGUAGGGAAUCUUCCGCAAUGGGCGAAAGCCUGACGGAGCAACGCCGCGUGAGUGAUGAAGGUCUUCGGAUCGUAAAACUCUGUUAUUAGGGAAGAACAUACGUGUAAGUAACUGUGCACGUCUUGACGGUACCUAAUCAGAAAGCCACGGCUAACUACGUGCCAGCAGCCGCGGUAAUACGUAGGUGGCAAGCGUUAUCCGGAAUUAUUGGGCGUAAAGCGCGCGUAGGCGGUUUUUUAAGUCUGAUGUGAAAGCCCACGGCUCAACCGUGGAGGGUCAUUGGAAACUGGAAAACUUGAGUGCAGAAGAGGAAAGUGGAAUUCCAUGUGUAGCGGUGAAAUGCGCAGAGAUAUGGAGGAACACCAGUGGCGAAGGCGACUUUCUGGUCUGUAACUGACGCUGAUGUGCGAAAGCGUGGGGAUCAAACAGGAUUAGAUACCCUGGUAGUCCACGCCGUAAACGAUGAGUGCUAAGUGUUAGGGGGUUUCCGCCCCUUAGUGCUGCAGCUAACGCAUUAAGCACUCCGCCUGGGGAGUACGACCGCAAGGUUGAAACUCAAAGGAAUUGACGGGGACCCGCACAAGCGGUGGAGCAUGUGGUUUAAUUCGAAGCAACGCGAAGAACCUUACCAAAUCUUGACAUCCUUUGACAAUUCUAGAGAUAGAGCCUUCCCCUUCGGGGGACAAAGUGACAGGUGGUGCAUGGUUGUCGUCAGCUCGUGUCGUGAGAUGUUGGGUUAAGUCCCGCAACGAGCGCAACCCUUAAGCUUAGUUGCCAUCAUUAAGUUGGGCACUCUAAGUUGACUGCCGGUGACAAACCGGAGGAAGGUGGGGAUGACGUCAAAUCAUCAUGCCCCUUAUGAUUUGGGCUACACACGUGCUACAAUGGACAAUACAAAGGGCAGCGAAACCGCAAGGUCAAGCAAAUCCCAUAAAGUUGUUCUCAGUUCGGAUUGUAGUCUGCAACUCGACUACAUGAAGCUGGAAUCGCUAGUAAUCGUAGAUCAGCAUGCUACGGUGAAUACGUUCCCGGGUCUUGUACACACCGCCCGUCACACCACGAGAGUUUGUAACACCCGAAGCCGGUGGAGUAACCAUUUGGAGCUAGCCGUCGAAGGUGGGACAAAUGAUUGGGGUGAAGUCGUAACAAGGUAGCCGUAUCGGAAGGUGCGGCUGGAUCACCUCCUUUCU